GAUGAAGAACGCAGUGAAAUGCGAUAAGUAAUGUGAAUUGCAGAAUUCAGUGAAUCAUCGAAUCUUUGAGCGCACCUUGCGCUCCUUGGUAUUCCGAGGAGCAUGCCUGUUUGAGUGUCAUUAAUAUAUCAACCUUCUCUUUUUUGAGUUGUUUGGAUGUGGGGGUUUGCUGGCCUCUUAAAUGAUUCAGCUCCCCUGAAAUGCAUUAGCAGAACAACCUGUUCAUUAGCGUGAUAAUUAUCUAUGCUAUUGAAUGUGAGGGCAGUUCAGCUUUCUAACCGUCCUUGGACAAUUCAUCAUUAAUGUGACCUCAAAUCAGGUAGGACUACCCGCUGAACUUAAGCAUAUCAAUAAGCGGAGGA
rnacentral:misc_RNA from 1 species